rnacentral:rRNA from 1 species
AGGACGAACGCUGGCGGCGUGCUUAACACAUGCAAGUCGAGCGGAAAGGCCCUUCGGGGUACUCGAGCGGCGAACGGGUGAGUAACACGUGAGCAACCUGCCCUUAGCUCCGGGAUAGCUCCGGGAAACCGGAAUUAAUACCGGAUACGACCACGGCCGACAUCUGCUGUGGUGGAAAGGAUUCCGGCUAAGGAUGAGCUCGCGGCCUAUCAGCUUGUUGGUGGGGUAACGGCCUACCAAGGCGACGACGGGUA